GACGAACGCUGGCGGCGUGCUUAACACAUGCAAGUCGAACGGAAGGGCCCUGCUUUUGUGGGGUGCUCGAGUGGCGAACGGGUGAGUAACACGUGAGUAACCUGCCCUUGACUUUGGGAUAACUUCAGGAAACUGGGGCUAAUACCGGAUAGGAGCUCCUGCUGCAUGGUGGGGGUUGGAAAGUUUCGGCGGUUGGGGAUGGACUCGCGGCUUAUCAGCUUGUUGGUGGGGUAGUGGCUUACCAAGGCUUUGACGGGUAGCCGGCCUGAGAGGGUGACCGGCCACAUUGGGACUGAGAUACGGCCCAGACUCCUACGGGAGGCAGCAGUGGGGAAUAUUGCACAAUGGGCGGAAGCCUGAUGCAGCAACGCCGCGUGCGGGAUGACGGCCUUCGGGUUGUAAACCGCUUUCGCCUGUGACGAAGCGUGAGUGACGGUAAUGGGUAAAGAAGCACCGACUAACUACGUG
rnacentral:rRNA from 1 species